UGGGGAAUUUUGGACAAUGGGCGAAAGCCUGAUCCAGCAAUGCCGCGUGAGUGAAGAAGGCCUUCGGGUUGUAAAGCUCUUUUGUCAGGGAAGAAACGGUGAGAGCUAAUAUCUCUUGCUAAUGACGGUACCUGAAGAAUAAGCACCGGCUAACUACGUGCCAGCAGCCGCGGUAAUACGUAGGGUGCAAGCGUCAAUCGGAAUUACUGGGCGUAAAGCGUGCGCAGGCGGUUUUGUACGUCUGUUGUGAAAUCCCUGGGCUCAACCUGGGAACUGCAUUUGUGACUGCAUAGCUGGAGUGCGGAAGAGGGGGAUAGAAUUCCGCGUGUAGCAGUGAAAUGCGUAGAUAUGCGGAGGAACACCGAUGGCGAAGGCAAUCCCCUGGGCCUGCACUGACGCUCAUGCACGAAAGCGUGGGGAGCAAACA
rnacentral:rRNA from 1 species